UACGGAGGGAGCUAGCGUUGUCCGGAAUUAUUGGGCGUAAAGAGCGUGUAGGCGGUCCGGUAAGUCAGCUGUGAAAGUCAAGGGCUCAACCCUUGAAUGCCGGUUGAUGCUGUCGGGCUAGAGUCCGGAAGAGGCGAGUGGAAUUCCCGGUGUAGCGGUGAAAUGCGCAGAUAUCGGGAGGAACACCAAUGGCGAAGGCAGCUCGCUGGGACGGUACUGACGCUGAGACGCGAAAGCGUGGGGAGCAAACAGG
rnacentral:rRNA from 1 species